AUUGAACGCUGGCGGCAGGCCUAACACAUGCAAGUCGAGCGGAUGAAGGGAGCUUGCUCCUGGAUUCAGCGGCGGACGGGUGAGUAAUGCCUAGGAAUCUGCCUGGUAGUGGGUGAUAACGUCCUGAAACGGGCGCUAAUACCGCAUACGUCCUGAGGGAGAAAGUGGGGGAUCUUCGGACCUCACGCUAUCAGAUGAGCCUAGGUCGGAUUAGCUAGUUGGUGGGGUAAAGGCCUACCAAGGCGGCGAUCCGUAACUGGUCUGAGAGGAUGAUCAGUCACACUGGAACUGAGACACGGUCCAGGCUCCUACGGGAGGCAGCAGUGGGGAAUAUUGGACAAUGGGCGAAAGCCUGAUCCAGCCAUGCCGAGUGUGUGAAGAAGGUCUUCGGAUUGUAAAGCACUUUAAGUUGGGAGGAAGGGCAGUAAGUUAAUACCUUGCUGUUUUGACGUUACCAACAGAAUAAGCACCGGCUAACUUCGUG
rnacentral:rRNA from 1 species